CGCGAAACCUUUACACUGCACGACAGUGCGAUAAGGGAAUCCCAAGUGCACAGGCAUAGAGCCUGUGCUUUUCUGAACCGUAGGGAGGUUCAGGAACAAGGGCUGGGCAAGACCGGUGCCAGCCGCCGCGGUAAUACCGGCAGCCCAAGUGAUGGCCGAUUUUAUUGGGCCUAAAGCGUCCGUAGCUGGCCGCGCAAGUCUAUCGGGAAAUCUAUCCGCUCAACGGAUAGACGCCCGGUGGAAACUGCGUGGCUUGGGACCGGAAGGCGCGAAGGGUACGUCCGGGGUAGGAGUGAAAUCCUGUAAUCCUGGACGGACCGCCGAUGGCGAAAGCACUUCGCGAGGACGGAUCCGACAGUGAGGGACGAAAGCUAGGGUCUCGAACCGGAUUAGAUACCCGGGUAGUCCUAGCCGUAAACGAUGCCUGUUAGGUGUGGCUCCCACUACGAGUGGGUGCUGUGCCGUAGGGAAGCCGCUAAACAGGCCGCCUGGGAAGUACGUCCGCAAGGAUGAAACUUAAAGGAAUUGGCGGGGGAGCACUACAACCGGAGGAGCCUGCGG
rnacentral:rRNA from 1 species